rnacentral:rRNA from 1 species
GAUGAACGCUGGCGGCGUGCCUAAUACAUGCAAGUCGAGCGAACAGACGAGGAGCUUGCUCCUCUUACGUUAGCGGCGGAUGGGUGAGUAACACGUGGAUAACCUACCUAUAAGACUGGGAUAACUUCUGGAAACCGUAUCGAAUACCGGAUAAUAUAUUGAACCGCAUUGUUCAUUAGUGAAAGACGGUUUUGCUGUCACUUAUAGAUGGAUCCGCGCCGCAUUAGCUAGUUGGUAAGUUAACGGCUUACCAAGGCAACCAUGCGUAGCCGACCUGAUAGGGUGAACGGCGACACAGGAACUGAGACACAGUCAGGACUCCUACGGGAGGCAGCAGUAGGAAAUCUUACGCAAUGGACGAAAGCAUGACGGAGCAACGCCGCGUGAGUGAUGAAGGUCUUCGGAUCGUAAAAAACUGUUAUUAGGGAAGAAAAAAUGUGUAAGUAACUAUGCACGUCUUGAAGGUACCUAAUCAGAAAGCCACGGCUAACUACGUG